UAGAGAGAGACACCAAACUGAAACAAUCCCCCAACUCUCAAAUGCCAAAACCACAAUAGACGCUGCUUUCGUUUCCAAAUCAAUCCAUCCCUGGAAAUAUGGCAAACCACAGAAAAGAAAAAUAAUGGGAAUCUUUUUUUUUUUUUUUUUUUUUUUGUGUUUCGGAAGGAAAUAAUGGGAAUCUUUAUUCACAUGAGAAACGUAACCAAACGCUCCUUCCUUCUUCAACAACUAUCAUCAUCCAAUCCCACCAGAGAUUCAAAUUCCAUGGCCAAUUCCUCUGUUUGGCUACAAUCUCCAUUUCCGCACAAUGCACCAGUCUUCACCAUCUCUCUAAGAUUAGGGUUUCCAAAACCUCUCUCUCAUCCUUCUAUAUAUCAUCUCCUUCAUUUUCAUCUUCUGCAUCACCAUCGUCGUCGUAUCCAAAGAUGGGACUUCUUGUAUGGUAUUUGGGUAAGCUCGAGUCUCGUCCUCUGCUCACUAAAAGCGUCACUGCCUCAUUUAUUUUCGCCGCUGCUGACUUGACCUCCCAGACGAUUACAAUGCCAUCUUUUGGUUCCUUUGACUUUCUAAGGACAUUGCGUAUGGCUGGAUACAGGAUGCUUAUUUUAGGGCCAGCACAGCAUGUGGUAUAAUUUCAUGGGAAGAGUCCGACCAAAGCGUGAUGUAGUCACUACCUUGAGGACACUUAUUGUGGGGCAGCUUACUUAUGGACCUACUGUCAAUGCUAUUUCCUUCUUCAAUGCGGCUCUACAAGCUGGUGAACCAGGGAGUGGAUUCUUCAUUAGUGGAGAAACUGAAAUAUGAGAUUGAAGAACUCUACAAGCUCCCUAUGGAAGAGAAAAUGAAACAUAAGACGAGGCCUGGUGAUGUUGAAAGGUAUGGACAAACCAUUCUCUUCUCCGAAGAUCAAAAGGUUGACUGGGCUGAUAGAUUUUAUAUGAUAACUAACCCCCAACCAUAGAAGACAACAACCGUAAACAUCCCUCUAGAUGAACCAUCAUACCGAUCCAACAACGAUCACCAAAAGAUCUCCAAGAUAACCACGUAUCAUAUCAGGGUACCGAACAAGACAAUGCGGCAGUACGAAUAACGACCAGAACCAGCCCACGACGUACUCAAAUUUGUGGUAGCACAUAUUGGCUGGGAUGGCCACUCUGGUAGUGCACCCAGUUGGAUGAAUGAAUUCAGGACAGACCCUGAUUUCGCGACAACAUCUAUUGGUAACGUUAACGAAACAAGAGGUCCCGGUCAUGCU